rnacentral:rRNA from 1 species
UACGUAGGGACCGAGCGUUGUCCGGAAUCAUUGGGCGUAAAGAGCGUGUAGGCGGCCUUUUAAGUCCUGCGUGAAAUCCUGCGGCUCAACCGCAGACGGUCGUGGGAAACUGGAAGGCUAGAGUGCGGGAGAGGAGAGUGGAAUUCCCGGUGUAGCGGUGAAAUGCGCAGAUAUCAGGAAGAACACCCGUGGCUAAGGCGGCUCUCUAGUACGGUACUGACGCUGAGACGCGAAAGCGUGGGGAGCGAACAGG